rnacentral:tRNA from 1 species
GCCUGGGUGGCUCAGUCGGUUAAGCGUCUGACUUCAGCUCAGGUCAUGAUCUCACAGCUCGUGAGUUCGAGCCCCGCGUCGGGCU